rnacentral:rRNA from 1 species
UACGUAGGGUCCGAGCGUUGUCCGGAAUUAUUGGGCGUAAAGAGCUCGUAGGCGGUUUGUCGCGUCUGCUGUGAAAUCCCGAGGCUCAACCUCGGGCCUGCAGUGGGUACGGGCAGACUGGAGUGCGGUAGGGGAGACUGGAAUUCCUGGUGUAGCGGUGAAAUGCGCAGAUAUCAGGAGGAACACCGGUGGCGAAGGCGGGUCUCUGGGCCGUAACUGACGCUGAGGAGCGAAAGCGUGGGGAGCGAACAGG